UGGAAUCCGUGGAAUGUGUGUGACCUUCACCGCAUUGUUGAAUGACUGUCCAUCAGAAAAAACAAAAAGUGAAGGGCCACUGGGCAAGAUGAGAAAACUGGAGCACAGAGAAGUGAAGCCACUCGCCUGAAGUCUCACAGCUAUUAAAUAUCAGAAGUGGGAUUUAAAUUGAGGUAGUCUGUCCCCAGAGCCCACAGCCUAACACGGCGACACAGUGCCUGAGACAUUUUGGGUUUGCUGUACCAGCUAGAAUUCUGGAAGGAGAAUCAGGAAACCUGGACCCAGUUAUUCAUCACCAUCCAUCCAACCAGCCAUCCUCUAUUCAUGGAGUCAGACGAUAAUUUGUAGAGUGCACCUAUGUGCCUGGAGUGUCUCUAAGACAAUGUGACUUGAUGAUGUAAUACAAACUCUUCUAGUUCUGCUCCCUUGCAUUUAAAACUAGGUGAUAUAACAAAACUUUCUCUGUCUAUUACCAAUUGAAUGCUUUUACAGUUCUUGUAUGUGCUGACCUCCGGAUCUGACAAGGUAGUGUAGUGUUUCUCAAAGUCCAGCCUGGGUACCACCUGCAGCAGAAUCUCCUGGGUGCUUAAUAAAAAAAAAAGCAGAUCCUGAGGUUUCCCCAAAUCUUCUGAAUCAGAAACACUGGGAGUUGGGGACCAGGACUUCUGGUUUUAAACAAG